AUACUUACCUGCAAGAGGAGACACCUGGAUCACCAAGGCGGUUCACCCAGGCGAGGCUCGCCAUUGCACUGCGGCUGUGCUGACCCCUGCGAAUGGGGAUGCGCCGUACAGUAGUUGCAAUUGCCCCUGAUCGUUGAUUGGCUGGAAGUUUGGA
rnacentral:snRNA from 1 species